AAUUUUAUUCUGCCUUUCAGUGACUUUUAAUGACAGAAUUUUCAAUUCAGCUUCAACCAGCUGUAGAGUGACAGAGUGAACAUUCUUCUUUAAAGACCUGAGUCCAAAUGGUUGUUUAAAGUACUGAGAGAAAAGGAGCCCAAGAGCUUCCAAGAGGUGGAGUCCCUGACGUGAUUUCAUGCAGUCCUCAAGGUGCUUGCCAGGUACAACCCUGCUCAGUCCAUAGAAGAAGAUGAGCUCAUUUUACAAUGCCUGAUUGGAUGGAGAGAGCCAGACACCUGGGAUGUCAGUGAGCAGAAAUUGUUAGGUAGAGGUGUCUACUAUGAGUCCAAGCUGCAAACUCCAGAAAGCACUUUGGGGAGAUCAGAUCAUGCUGAGAGCCUGCUAGUG